CCAAAUAUCAGCAUUGCUUGGACAUCGGGAGAGUGGCAAACGGGUGAGUAACACGUAAGUAACCUACCCCUAAGUAGGGGAUAACUCUGAGAAAUUGGAGCUAAUACCGUAUGUGGUGGUGGAGGUAAGGCUUCAUCACUAAAGCCUUAGGGCGCUUGGGGAGGGGCUUGUGUCCGAUUAGCUAGUUGGUAGGGUAAUGGUUUACCAAGGCGAUGAUCGGUAGCUGGUCUGAGAGGACGAUCAGCCACACUGGGACUGAGACACGGCCCAGACUCCUAUGGGAGGCAGCAGCAAGGAAUUUUGUGCAAUGGGCGAAAGCCUGACACAGCGACGCCGCGUGAGGGAUGAAGGCCUUCGGGUUGUAAACCUCUUUUCUCAGGGAAGAAUAAUGACGGUACCUGAGGAAUAAGUCUCGGCUAACUACGUGCCAGCAGCCGCGGUAAUACGUAGGAGGCGAGCGUUAUCCGGAUUUACUGGGCGUAAAGAGGGCGUAGGCGGCUUUUCAAGUCGGGUGUAAAAUCUCCCCGCUUAACGGGGAGGGGUCAUCCGAUACUGUUAAGCUAGAGGACAGCAGAGGGAGGUGGAAUUCCCGGUGGAGUGGUGAAAUGCGUAGAUAUCGGGAGGAACACCAGUGGCGAAGGCGGCCUCCUGGGCUGUUUCUGACGUUGAGGCCCGAAAGCGUGGGGAGCGAACAGGAUUAGAUACCCUGGUAGUCCACGCUGUUAACGAUGGAUACUAGGUAUAGGGAGUAUCGACCCUCUCUGUGCCGAAGCUAACGCGUUAAGUAUCCCGCCUGGGGACUACGGCCGCAAGGCUAAAACCCAAAGGAAUUGACGGGGGCCCGCACAAGCAGCGGAGCGUGUGGUUUAAUUCGAUGCAACGCGAAGAACCUUACCAAGGCUUGACAUGACGGAAGUAGCAACCUGAAAGGGGAGUCACCUGUUGAGUCAGGAGC
rnacentral:rRNA from 1 species